CAAAUCGUCGGUGAGGAACAAGAGAGGCUUCUCCGAGACCAUGGAUCUCAUGCUCAAUCUUCAGUGCAACAAAGAAGAAACCGUCGAUCUUAACAACGCCACAGCUUCCAAAGAGAAGACUCUCCUCAAAGACCCUGCUAAGCCUCCUGCUAAGUAAGCUAUACAUACAUUUAUAUAUAUAUAUAUGAAUACUUGAUUAUAAAAUAUACAUCUCUAUAUCUGUCUCUAUGUCUCUAACUUCUUGGACUACGUAUCCCCAAUCUUCACCACUAGUUUAUUAUGAUAAAUCUAAUAGUUAUACUCGACUGAUUUCAGUAAUCAUACAAAAAAAUCUUGAAAUUGGUAAUAUAUAUCCAUAUACAUAAGUUUUUUAAGCAUAUAUCCAUAACUUUGAAAUUAAAUUUGUGUUCUAGCAUAAAUAAUAAAAAAACCCAUUAUAAAAAAUAAUUAAGCGUGGUUGAUGCUUAAACACCAAUUUAUAAAUGCGUACAAGCAAACAUUAAAGCAUUACAUCUAUAAUGAAGCCAACAUAGUUAAAAUAGUAAUUAAUUAUAACUAAAUAAUUAAAUAAAAAUAGUAAGUAGCAAAAACUUUGAUUGGUUAACACUUUAACACACAUAUAUAAUUAAUGUUGUUGUAUGUAGAGCCCAAGUGGUGGGAUGGCCACCUGUGAGGAACUACAGGAAGAACAUGAUGACUCAGCAGAAGACAAGCGGCGAGGAGGAGGCCAGCAGCGAGAAGGCUGGAAAUGGUGGAGGAGCUGCCUUGGUGAAGGUAUCCAUGGACGGAGCUCCUUACCUAAGGAAAGUUGACCU
rnacentral:lncRNA from 1 species